rnacentral:rRNA from 1 species
CUACGGGACGCAGCAGUGGGGAAUUUUGCGCAAUGGGCGAAAGCCUGACGCAGCAAUACCGCGUGAGUGAAGAAGGCCUUUGGGUCGUAAAGCUCUUUUCUGGGGGAAGAUAGUGACGGUACCCCAGGAAUAAGCACCGGCUAACUCCGUGCCAGCAGCCGCGGUAAUACGGAGGGUGCAAGCGUUGUUCGGAUUUACUGGGCGUAAAGGGCACGUAGGCGGCACAGCAAGUUAAGGGUGAAAUCCCGGGGCUCAACUCCGGAACUGCUCUUAAAACUGCUGAGCUAGAGAUAGUCAGAGGCGGGUAGAAUUCCUGGUGUAGAGGUGAAAUUCGUAGAUAUCAGGAGGAAUACCGGUGGCGAAGGCGGCCCGCUGGGGCCAUUCUGACGCUAAGGUGCGAAAGCGUGGGGAGCGAACGGGAUUAGAUACCCCUGUAGUC